AAUAAAUUCGAUCAGUAAGUGGUGCAAUAGUAAUUUUAUAAUUAUUCAAACGCAUUAUUUUGACAAAUAAACAAUAUUUACAUAGUAAGACAACAUAACAUAUAGCUAAUGUUUACGUUACCUGUGAACGAAGACUUGCAGUAUGGCUACGUUACUUCUGAAACGGGAGUAAGUUCAAGUCAAAUUCCGUAUUAUUUACAGGAUGCUUAUCAGUAUAUUUACUUAGCUCAUAGCUCAUGCCAUGUUAGCUUAUGCAUGCAACAAAUCUUGUAAAUUCCAACUACAGCAACUGUCAGUAAGUUUUUUUUAAUACAACCAGAGAAUGUCUAAUAUGGCGAGAAGUUUCACUCUCACUACACUUCCGGCUUCUGAACUGGUUGCAGUUCCACUCUGAUUCCAUAUGAGGGCGCUCUCAGGACGAGUGCAGAAUGAAUGGAGGUCAAUGGCGGUAUACCCCUCAAAAUCCACUUUUCUCAGGAUAUAAUUUUUUGUCUAGUAAUUUGAAUGUUGUAUUCGAAAGGAGAUGCAAAGAAAUUACAAAUUGCUGGGUGUUAGAUUUUUAGAGUCACUUAUUUGCUUUAAAAAGUCUUUUAAAAUGUCAAUGACGUCAUACGUUAUAGUUCAUUAGGUAUUCGAAAGGAGAUGCAAAGAAAUUACAAAUUGCUGGGUGUUAGUAUUUUUUUAGAGUCACUUAUUUGCUUUAAAAAGUCUUUUUAAAAUGUCAAUGACGUCAUACGUUAUAGUUCAUUAGCAGAAUGCUAGCGUGUUAUGGGCAACAACAACUCAACCUGUAAGAAAUCGAAAGGACAUAAGUACUCGUUCAUUCAACUUUCGACCUAUAACCCAUGUUGAACUUGCAAAACCUACAAUCAGAUCUGAGAUUUCUCAACGGCAAUCGGGUGAAAGGGACAAAUUUAGCCGUCUAGCCCCAUAGACUCCCAUUCAUUUUGCACUCCUGGCGAUCGCCCCCAGUGGAACUCUGGUGGAACUGCAACCAAAAUUCGGUACAAUAGGACUUAAUAGGGAGUGGGAAGGCUCUCCGUAGACGGGCUCUGAGUACAUUAAAUAAUCUGAACAAAAAGCUUACAAUUCCAGAGGUUACAAAUAGGUUUGAAAAAAUUACAGUUUGAAAUUUUCAUUUACUUAUACCACAAUUUUUUGUUUGUUUGUUUGUUUUUUCAAACAAAAUGCAGUCAUUUCAAACAUGGUCGCCGAGUGAAAUUACUUGCCUUAAAGGGACUUUGGUUAGGUACUCUAGAUUAUCUUGUCUUUUUGUAUUUUAAAUCUUGAUUUAUACAUGCACAUAGCCCCAUGAAAACCUUUAUGUGAACAUAUCUAUCCAAUGAAAAGGUGCAAAGGAGUGAAUUCACAUUUUUUGACCCCCAUCUCCCCUGCGUAUUCUUCUACACCCAUGCCCGUGACCCAUUGUGUAGAUAUAAACUGCUUUAUCACCUGAAUUAAGUUAGCAUGUGUAACUAGCAUCAACCCUCACACAUCUUUAUUCAAUCAAUGGUUGAUUAGUUUGCUCCAAGGUUGUGUUGAUCAAUAUGUUUACAGCCUGUUUAAAGUCUGUGCCCUCAAAAUAAUCCAAUCAUAAACCCAUGACCUGAAGCACUGGAAUAGCAGGCCAGCAGUGUGAAAAUUUACGUUUGGAAUUUUAUAUUCACCACUGGAGGGGAGUACUUUCCAUAUGAGCUGAAACUGCACUGCUGUAACUGUGUCAUAGCCCUGGUUUGUUUACAUCAGUCCUGCAGUUAAGAAACCAUUGAAGGGACAGUGCCCAUCUUAUCGCCAUCCUUCAGAACGACAACAUCAGUGCUACCAAUGGUUUGACACUUCAUAUUUCAUCAAACAAUUACAUGCAUGACAAUGAGGCAUUAAGAAACAGUUCAUUACAUAACACUCCACAUGUGUGAUUGUGCAGUUGUGUGUGUGCUCAAGAGGUAGAGGGAACUGUUAUUAAGUGAACUGAACAAGAGAGGGUGGGCUGAGCUGGGAAAUGGUAAACAAGUGACAUCACCAUUUGUGGUGAAGAGUACAUUUUAAAGUGGAGCCAAACAAUGUGUGUGUGUGUGUGUGUGUGUGUGUGUGUGUGUGUGUGUGUGUGUGUGUGUGUGUGUGUGUGGAAAUUACACAUUGCUGGGUGUUAGAUUUUUUGAGUCACUUAUUUGCUUUAAAAAGUCUUUUAAAAUGUCAAUGACGUCAUACGUUAUACGUUCAUUAGCAGAAUGCUAGCGUGAUAUGGGCAACAAAAACUCAAUCUGUAAGAAAUCGAAAGGACAUAAGUACUCGUUCAUUCAACUUUCGACCUAUAACCCAUGUUGAACUUGCAAAACCUACAAUCAGAUCUGAGAUUUCUCAACGGCAAUCGGGUGAAAGGGACAAAUUUAGCCGUCUAGCCCCAUAGACUCCCAUUCAUUUUGCACUCAUGGCGAUCGCCCCCAGUGGAACUCUGGUGGAACUGCAGCCAAAAUUCGGUACAAUAGGACUUAAUAGGGAGUGGGAAGGCUCUCCGUAGACGGGCUCUGAAAACAUCCAGAGAUAGAUAUUAACGUACCACCGAGUAAAACUGAAGUGAAGGGAAUAAUAAAAUAUGGCAAGUAGGGUUGCCACCAUAGACUGUAUUAUUAUUAUUAUUAUUAUUAUUAUUAUUAUUAUUAUUAUUUAUUAUUAAUUAA
rnacentral:lncRNA from 1 species